AUUAAACCCCAAUAUUUUUUUUCUGUAGUGAAAGAUCUAAAUAUGUUUACAUUUCAAAAUUACAAAAAUUAGUCAUAUCUUGAAUAAUUACAAUCUGGAAAAGUUGAAAAAGUUCUAUCUGAAUGCUUUUGAUGAUGUUAGUAUUGUAUGACAGUACAGAAUUGAUAGAAAAAAAUACUUCUUUGAACAAUUGUUCUCAGAUUUCUUUUCUUUAUUUUUGGCUUUUUUCUUCCUUUUCUCUUUCUCCCUUCUUUUUAUUUUCUUCUUCUGUUGUUUUUUUGGUGUUUUUUUUUUUGGCAACUACCUCCCAUUCCCCUAGCUCUAUGUCCCUGAAAUGUAUGCAGUUUGUGUGUUCCCAGCCCGCUGUUGGGAUCCAUUAGCGUGGAUCAUUGUGCCUGGAUGGAGCUGAGUGAUUCAAGCCCUACCUGUUGUAGUGCGCUGCAUUUAGACGGUUGUAGCACAGAAACGGGCCCACUUCAUCAGGUAGUCUCUCUUUUGACAGCUUAAGGAUUUAUCAAGUUUGGUACCUCAUAAACCACAUGAAUGUUCUUUUGACUUAAGAUUUAAAUGACUGUAAAUUUGUAGUAAUAUAUUCGAAGUGCCAAAGGUUAUGUACUAAGUUAUGGUACGUUUACUGUGGAAGUUAGGUUUUGCACUCAAUUAGAUUUUAGUUUCCUAAUUACACCAAGAUGUAUUUCAGUUACUCAGUAUUUCCAUAAAAGUUCUUAAACAUUUUCAAAUGUUUGGCCGAAGCCAGUGGUUUUCUCAUAUUGUUAAUGAGGAAGUGUUGUGCAAUUGUUCUGAAUUCCACAGUCAUUUUUAAACUAGCUGGUAUGAGACCAUCUGUAGUAUCUACAAUGAUUAAGUCAUACACACCAAUGGGGUUUAACAGGUAAACCAAUCAGAGAAGAUGCUCCAAUGACUUUUCACUUGCAAGCCAACUUAUAAUUAUUAAAAUUAAACUCUACUAUAUUUAGCACCUCUGAAAUCACUUCUUUUAGGAUGUAAAUGUAGAAUAUCAAACUGCAUAAUUGACUAAAAGCAGAUCAUUUGACAUAUUUGCAUACCAAGAACGAUAAGCAGAUUAAAGGUAGCGAAAAGAUCAAUUUUUGUGCAUUAGUGAAGAAAUUUAGUGAAGCUUUGAAUGUGCUAUCUAGUCUUUAUCUGAUCUGUAAGUGAAUAAAAGCACCUUUUGUUUCCUAGAGUUUAUCAAGGAAGAGGGGAGAACGACAAAUGUAAUUUAGGAAGAGGUAAAGUUACUGGAAGAGGCAGAAUGGGACAUUUACAACUAUGAAAAUAUUUUUGUAGAGCUCUAACAGCUAAAGAUACGGGCUGCUUUUGGAGCAGUUCUGGAAAGCAUGUCAUUUUCGGCUUAGAAGAUUUUAACAUUCUUCUAUAUUUUGAGAUUAUUUUUGAAAAGCAUCUUCACCUCACGUAUGUUUUUUGAACGAUGUAUCUUUCGAAUGAAAACAUUUCAUACAGAGAAAUGUAUACUUUGAAAACAAAAAAAGUUCUGUUUCUCCCAUAGGAUAAAACUGUAAACUUUCUUGCAGAUUAUUGUAAAACCCUAAUAACUUGCUGCUUACAGUCAGUCUUUCUUGCCCUUUAAAAUGUAGGGAUGAAAAUUUUGGACACCUCCACAUUAUUUUAAUUUUUUUUUUCUCAAAAAUUAGCAUAAGAGUUCCUCCAUGCACACACUAUACUUUGAAAUUAUCCUCUGAAACAUAGCGACAUUCUUCACUUUAAAGAACAAAUAUCAAGGCCAUAGUUUAAUGUUGUAUGCAACAAAUUUAAACUUUCUGCCAUUCAAGAAGGAUAUUUAUUAUUUAUAUAUGUUACCUCUUGCUGCUGUAUUUUAUAUUUAGCUUGGUUUUCCACCUAAUAAUGAAUGUAGCAUUCUCCCUAGAUUAUACAUAACUACAUUUGUUGCUGUUGGCUCCGUAUCAAGAACAUUUUGUAAUUUUCCACCUGUGAAAAUGUUGCCUUGCAUUUAGAAAGGUUUCAUGAUUUGGGGACCUAAUGAAACUCAUGCUCGUUAGGUACUAGUCUGCAUUUCUUUCUCUACAGGAUGCCCUUUCUUAGAUGCAUCUUAAACGAACUGCUGUCUUAAUAUGUUUACUGCUGCACUGGAGGUGUAGUUACACUUCCAGCUUUAAAGAAAGAUUAUUGUCCUACAUCAAGUAUCUAAAAAUAAAACCCAGCCAGAAUGACAGAAGACUGGAGCAUUCUCCCCCACCUCCUGGCAUAGGUUUCCAUCAGCUCUUUCACCCUGUAUCUCAUGGCUUUGCAACUGUCCUGAAGGGAUCUGCUCUCAUCCUUUGAUGUUGUUUAGCCCCCAAGACAUCUCUUCUGCCUUCCAUAGCUUGCAGCUUUUAAUUCAGUGUUAGAAGAAAGGACCUUUUUCUAGCUGUGGUCACCACUUCAAGAAACUACCUGUUUCAGGGCAGCAUACUGAGACCUCCAAGAGUGAGCAGCUCUAAAGGCAAAUUAAAGUUUCAUGCAGACAGGGGUGAAGUACAGGUGACAGCUUUGGCGAUUCGCCACAAAUUGUGCAGAAAGUUGUAAUGCGGAGGGAACCUGAACCAAAGCCACCCAUCGUUCAGGCUAGUGAUAUAAUCAGCAGAUGAUCUUCUGGCCCUGCUGUUGUGUUCUGGAUGAUCCCUAUGAAAAGGAUCAGGCAUCGAGGUGUCAGCAAGGUUGGGAAUCUCAUGAUGUAUGCUCUGGAACAGCCUGUUCUUAUAAUUUUAAGAGGCAUGAGCUGGCACGCAUAUUUUUGCCUCUGGGGCUUUCUGCUGGCGCAGUGCGCUUUGUUGGGCUCUCCUCAAACCUCCGGGUGCUGCUCCUGGGAGAAUCUUCCCUGCGUGGGGCGAAGGUGCAACACCCAGUCAUGCUCUGCUGCAUUCCAGGAGCGCUGCCUGAGCCCAAAAUAGAAACUCCUAAC